rnacentral:rRNA from 1 species
ACUCCUGCGGGAGGCAGCAGUGGGGAAUUUUGGACAAUGGGGGCAACCCUGAUCCAGCAAUGCCGCGUGAGUGAAGAAGGCCUUCGGGUUGUAAAGCUCUUUUGUCAGGGAAGAAACGGUGGUGGCGAAUAACUACUACUAAUGACGGUACCUGAAGAAUAAGCACCGGCUAACUACGUGCCAGCAGCCGCGGUAAUACGUAGGGUGCAAGCGUUAAUCGGAAUUACUGGGCGUAAAGCGUGCGCAGGCGGUUGUGUAAGUCAGAUGUGAAAUCCCCGGGCUCAACCUGGGAAUUGCAUUUGAGACUGCACGGCUAGAGUGUGUCAGAGGGGGGUAGAAUUCCACGUGUAGCAGUGAAAUGCGUAUAUAUGUGGAGGAAUACCGAUGGCGAAGGCAGCCCCCUGGGAUAACACUGACGCUCAUGCACGAAAGCGUGGGGAGCAAACAGGAUUAGAAACCCCAGUAGUCCCAUG